rnacentral:rRNA from 1 species
UACGUAGGGCGCAAGCGUUGUCCCGAAUUAUUGGGCGUAAAGAGCUCGUAGGCGGCCUGUCGCGUCUGCUGUGAAAUCCCGGGGCUUAACCCCGGGCGUGCAGUGGAUACGGGCUGGCUGGAGGCAGGCAGGGGAGAAUGGAAUUCCCGGUGUAGCGGUGAAAUGCGCAGAUAUCGGGAGGAACACCGGUGGCGAAGGCGGUUCUCUGGGCCUGUUCUGGACGCUGAGGAGCGAAAGCGUGGGGAGCGAACAGG